rnacentral:lncRNA from 1 species
GCCUGCGCCGCCCAGCCCCGCGCCUGGCGUGCCUCCGCCGUCGCCUGCGCCGCCCAGCCCCUCGCCUGGCGUGCCUCCGCCGUCGCCUGCGCCGCCCAGCCCCUCGCCUGGCGUGCCUCCGCCAUCGCCCGAGCCGCCCAGCCCCGCGCCUGGCGUGCCUCCGCCGUCGCCCGAGCCGCCCAGCCCCGCGCCUGGCGUGCCUCCGCCAUCGCCUGAGCCGCCCAGCCCCGCGCCUGGCGUGCCUCCGCCAUCGCCCGAGCCGCCCAGCCCCGCGCCUGGCGUGCCUCCGCCGUCGCCUGCGCCGCCCAGCCCCUCGCCUGGCGUGCCUCCGCCAUCGCCCGAGCCGCCCAGCCCCGCGCCUGGCGUGCCUCCGCCGUCGCCCGAGCCGCCCAGCCCCGCGCCUGGCGUGCCUCCGCCGUCGCCCGAGCCGCCCAGCCCCGCGCCUGGCGUGCCUCCGCCAUCGCCUGAGCCGCCCAGCCCCGCGCCUGGCGUGCCUCCGCCGUCGCCCGAGCCGCCCAGCCCCGCGCCUGGCGUGCCUCCGCCGUCGCCUGCGCCGCCCAGCCCCGCGCCUGGCGUGCCUCCGCCGUCGCCUGCGCCGCCCAGCCCCGCGCCUGGCGUGCCUCCGCCGUCGCCCGAGCCGCCCAGCCCCGCGCCUGGCGUGCCUCCGACGUCGCCUGCGCCGCCCAGCCCCGCGCCUGGCGUGCCUCCGCCGUCGCCUGCGCCGCCCAGCCCUGCCCCCGGCGUGCCUCCGCCGUCGCCCGAGCCGCCCAGCCCCGCGCCUGGCGUACCUCCGCCGUCGCCUGCGCCGCCCAGCCCCGCGCCUGGCGUACCUCCGCCGUCGCCUGCGCCGCCCAGCCCUGCCCCCGGCGUGCCUCCGCCGUCGCCUGCGCCGCCCAGCCCCGCGCCUGGCGUGCCUCCGCCUUCGCCCGAGCCGCCCAGCCCCGCGCCUGGCGUGCCUCCGCCAUCGCCCGAGCCGCCCAGCCCCGCGCCUGGCGUGCCUCCGCCGUCGCCUGCGCCGCCCAGCCCCUCGCCUGGCGUGCCUCCGCCAUCGCCCGAGCCGCCCAGCCCCGCGCCUGGCGUGCCUCCGCCGUCGCCUGCGCCGCCCAGCCCCUCGCCUGGCGUGCCUCCGCCAUCGCCCGAGCCGCCCAGCCCCGCGCCUGGCGUGCCUCCGCCGUCGCCCGAGCCGCCCAGCCCCGCGCCUGGCGUGCCUCCGCCAUCGCCCGAGCCGCCCAGCCCCGCGCCUGGCGUGCCUCCGCCGUCGCCUGCGCCGCCCAGCCCCGCGCCUGGCGUGCCUCCGCCGUCGCCUGCGCCGCCCAGCCCCGCGCCUGGCGUGCCUCCGCCGUCGCCUGCGCCGCCCAGCCCCGCGCCUGGCGUGCCUCCGCCGUCGCCCGAGCCGCCCAGCCCCGCGCCUGGCGUGCCUCCGACGUCGCCUGCGCCGCCCAGCCCCGCGCCUGGCGUGCCUCCGCCGUCGCCUGCGCCGCCCAGCCCUGCCCCCGGCGUGCCUCCGCCGUCGCCCGAGCCGCCCAGCCCCGCGCCUGGCGUACCUCCGCCGUCGCCUGCGCCGCCCAGCCCCGCGCCUGGCGUACCUCCGCCGUCGCCUGCGCCGCCCAGCCCUGCCCCCGGCGUGCCUCCGCCGUCGCCUGCGCCGCCCAGCCCCGCGCCUGGCGUGCCUCCGCCUUCGCCCGAGCCGCCCAGCCCUGCCCCCGGCGCCACUCCGCCGUCGCCCGAGCCGCCCAGCCC